rnacentral:rRNA from 1 species
GAGUUUGAUCCUGGCUCAGAUUGAACGCUGGCGGCAUGCCUUACACAUGCGAGUCGAACGGCAGCAUGAUCUAGCUUGCUAGAUUGAUGGCGAGUGGCGAACGGGUGAGUAAUACAUCGGAACGUGCCCUGUAGUGGGGGAUAACUAGUCGAAAGAUUAGCUAAUACCGCAUACGACCUGAGGGUGAAAGUGGGGGACCGCAAGGCCUCAUGCUAUAGGAGCGGCCGAUGUCUGAUUAGCUAGUUGGUGGGGUAAAGGCCCACCAAGGCGACGAUCAGUAGCUGGUCUGAGAGGACGAUCAGCCACACUGGGACUGAGACACGGCCCAGACUCCUACGGGAGGCAGCAGUGGGGAAUUUUGGACAAUGGGCGAAAGCCUGAUCCAGCAAUGUCGCGUGUGUGAAGAAGGCCUCGGUGU